rnacentral:rRNA from 1 species
CCUACGGGAGGCAGCAGUAGGGAAUAUUGCUCAAUGGGGGAAACCCUGAAGCAGCAACGCCGCGUGGGGGAUGAAGGUUUUCGGAUUGUAAACCCCUUUUGUUAGGGAAGAAAAUGACGGUAUCUAACGAAUAAGCACCGGCUAACUCCGUGCCAGCAGCCGCGGUAAUACGGAGGGUGCAAGCGUUAUCCGGAAUCACUGGGCGUAAAGGGCGCGUAGGCGGGAUAGCAAGUCAGAUGUGAAAUCCUAUGGCUUAACCAUAGAACUGCUUUUGAAACUGUUAUUCUAGAGUACGGGAGAGGUAAGUGGAAUUCUUGGUGUAGGGGUAAAAGGCGUAGAGAUUAAGAGGAAUACUCAUUGCGAAGGCGGCUUACUGGAACAUAACUGACGCUGAUGCGCGAAAGCGUGGGGAGCAAACAGGAUUAGAUACCCUUGUAGUC